rnacentral:rRNA from 1 species
CGUGAGGAACCUGCCUUUCAGAGGGGGACAACAGCUGGAAACGGCUGCUAAUACCGCAUGACACAUAUUUAUCGCAUGGUAGAUAUGUCAAAGAUUUAUCGCUGAGAGAUGGCCUCGCAUCUGAUUAGCUAGUUGGUAGGGUAACGGCCUACCAAGGCGACGAUCAGUAGCCGGACUGAGAGGUUGGCCGGCCACAUUGGGACUGAGACACGGCCCAAACUCCUACGGAAGGCAGCAG